AGGGAUCCAACCUGCAUCUCGUCUCCUGCAUUGGCAGGCGGAUUCUUUACCACUAGGCCACUGGGGAAGCCCUAAGAUAGCUGAGCUGUAUUCAGAAGAAAAGCUUGGGAGAUGGUCCUGGCUCAGGAUCUGUGGGCAUUCUCUGGUCUUCUCCACACUGGAGACAUGGGGAUGUCGCUAAAGAGCACCAGCCCACCAUCUGGCUCCCCAAGUUUUCUUUUUCUGGGACAUGAGAAAAGAGGAUAGGAGAUGAGGGUGGGUGGGGGGGGGUGGGCAGAAAGAUAACUGAGGUUGGGCCUUCUGCUGCCCAUCCUCUGCCUCAAACUGCGGGUGGUUACUGCACUUUGGGUGAAUGUUGGGACUGGGAGGACCCCAGGACCCAGAGGGAGGGGCCACCGGUCCUUCGCGAGCUGGGAUCAGAUGUCCAGCUUCCUGCCCCGGGCUUGCCCUGCUCUCUCUGGGGCCCCAUGAUGGUGUUGGCAGGGAACAGGGAGGUGUUCUGGGGAGCGAGGGGUUUUCUGGGGUGGGAGGAAGGGAGGUGGGGGUGGUGCACCUGGGCCCAGCCUCCCCACCUCCGGCUGGGGCUGUCUCCUGAGCAGAGAGGUCUGGCCUGAGCUGGGGAGGGGGCCUGGGUGCGGUUUUCGCCUGUGUCGCGGUUGGCUCUUUUGUCUUCCAGGCUGGGCCUGUGGGGGUCUCCGUGGGGCAGGAGCUGGGAUCAGGACACUGCCUGCGCAGACGGGGAUCAAGUGCCUUCUCCUGGAUACGAACUGAGGAUUCGGAGGCCAACGUGAGAUGUGGUCCUGCCCUCUCAGAUCUUCGUGCGGUGCUGCCCGGGCUGCGUCUCUAGGACUCCUGGCCCGCUGUCCUCCUGGAGCCCACAGGAGCCUGGACUCUGGCCUUGGUGACACAGGGAGCAGUCUUCACUGGUUUUCUGGAACCCUGGACAGCUCCCCGAAGAUCUCAUCCUUCCUAACUUCUGAAGCCUCCCCUGGAUAAAAGCCCCUCCUGGUUGGUGCUCAGCUGAGGACAGGACCUGGCUCUGGCGGAGCGAGAGGGAGGCUGGCAGCCCGCUGUCCAUCCCCUCUGCAUCUGCCUGGACCUGCCUGCCUGUCCCACACCCGUCCAGGACUGGGGGCCCUUCCUGAGCCCAUGAGGACCUCACUGCUCCUCCCAUCCCCACUGGUGACCAGGCGGAUCUCAGCCUGGGCCCAGGCCCCACUGACCACACCCUCCCUGAGGCUGGGUCUCACAGGACCUACAGGACGGGGGCAGGGACCUGUGGGUGGGCCAUCAGGGACGAGCUGCCCGCGGGCUGGAGGGUGGACGCGGCUCGGGAGUCAGUGGGCUGGGGCCUGUUUUGUGCCCUUUGCGUGUGAGUGAUUCUCAUUUUUCUGGGGGCUUCUGGGGUUCUUCUUCCUGGCUUCUCUCCCUGAUGGUCACCAGGAAGAGGCAGUCUAGGCCUCGGGGGGAGCUUGGGCCUUCCCCUAAUGCUGUGGAGCUCUGGGAGGGGUUAUCCUGAAAGGAGAGGGUUUCCAAGAGAGGAGAAGAUCUCGGCCAGGGGGCUGGUGAGAAGGAGACAGACCCUGGGCCUGGCUCCUGACAUCCAAAGGGAACAGUCCGGAAUCAGCCUCACCCUAGCCCAGUCUCAGACCCCUGCUCCUAGUUGUCCCCAUCCCUGGGAAGCAGAGAUGGGCAGCGCAGGCUGCACACAAGUGCGGCUUCCCCAUCACAGGGCUGUGGGCUUACUCACACACCCUCCCCUUCUCCAGUCCCCCCCGAGGGGCCGGCCUCAGCGCUUGCAGGAGGGCAGCCAUGGCCUUCCGUGGAGAAGCUCAAGAGCCUGACAUCCUUUUCCUGGCGCAGGAAGGGGCGCUGCCAUAACAGAACUCCACCCCUGGAUGGCUGAACUGCAGAAAUGUAUUUUCUUAUCGUUCUGGAGGCUGGAAGUCCAAGACCAAGGUGGCAGGGGUGGUUUGUGGUGAGGCCUACCUCCUUGGCCCGCAGAUAGAACCUUCUUGCUGUGUUCUCACAUGGCCUUCUCUCUGCGCAUAUGCAGAGAGAGAGACAGUGUGUGUGAGAGAGAGGAGAGAAAUAGAUAGCAGGCAUCUCUUCCUUUUCCUGUAAGGGCACUGGUCCUAUGGGGUUAGGGCCUCAUCCCUGUGACCUCAUUUAGCCUUAAUUACCUAUGCCAAAGCCCUUCCUCCAAACAGAGUCACAUCAGGGCUGUGAAUAUGGAGGGAGACUCAAUUCAGUCCAUAGCAGGUGGUCACCACAAACCUGGAAGCUGGCGCCAUCUCCCCUUUAGAAUACCCAUCCCCGAUGGGGACGGGAAGGAGAAGCAGAGGCAUGGGAAGCAGAAACAGUGUGGCAGGUCCUGUGCGAGGGUGGCCCUGAGAGCCUCGGAGAGACACGGAACUGGCCGAACCAACCCAGAGCAGUGAAGAGAACCCGCCCGCCCUUGUGAAGAACUUGGGCUUUGGAGCCUGAGGGCUAUGCUCUGAGGUGCAACCUUGGGCAAGUCACCUCACCCCUGUGAGUCCGACUGCCACUCUGAAGCAGGAGCCACCUGCUUCCCCGGGGACCGGGACACAGGGAGAAGUCAGUGAGAUCUCACGACUGGCACAGUGCCUGACUCUUAGUAGGUGCUCAAUAAAUACUCCCGUCUGUCUGGGAGUUUGGAUCUAGGGCUUCUCUCUUUUGGGCACCCUGGACUGUAAACUCCGCAUCUUUGAUCCAGAGGCAUUUCUGACCAGUGCUUCCCCAACUGUAUCUUUUUGUUUGUUUUUGGCUGUGUGGGGUGGCAUGUUGGAUCUUAGUUCUUGGAUCAGGGGUUGAACCUGUG